ACUGGAAGAUGCUGCAGAAAGACUGUUUUCUUUGAUAAUCACAAUUUGAAGAUCGCAAUACAUUUUGUGGUGUUUGGCUUGCCUUUAUAUUCAAACGCAUGCGUUUCCUGUACCUUUGCAAGUGCCUCAUCGUCCACUCAAUUCCUUUUCUAAAGAAAACCGUUGGCCGAAAACCCUUCAAAGUGGGGUAAUCUUGUUCAAAACAAUUACCCACACAUUCUUCAAUUCAAAUUUAUUUCAAAAAAUUAGUAUAACAAUUAAUAAACUCAAUUAAACGAGUCUUUUUCGAUCGGAUCUCUGGUGGGCGUCACGUGACCAGACUAGCAGACUACUCAAUCGUCAAGUCACGCACUAUGCCUCACAGGUAAGAAACGGUAAAGUUUUGAGCACGCCCUUGUGGAUAUCAACCAGCAAAGGAGAACUCGGGCGACAAGAAAAGUUUGGCCGUGGUGUUAUGGUCUUACUCGUCAAAGACAUUGCCACGCCCAGUACCGUAAAAGGGAAUAUCGAUACAAUAGUACGACGGUGAGCAAUCCUUGCCUCAACAGCCCAUGCACUCCCUUCUGUGUCCUUAUUCCGGGCGGAUAUCCUUUCACCUGCCCCGACAGCACGAUCCUGAUUCAAUCUGGUGAAGAACUGUCGUGGAACGUGACUGAGGAACGACCUCAACCGUCUCCUUUUGCGCUGCCCUUGCCAGAAUCUUGGGGUCUGCACCGGCGACGGCCAAGUCCAUUGCCAGUGCCCCAACGAUUAUUACGAAGGCGCCCAUUGCGAGACCCACUUGUUGCGCCGUAGUUAACAACAAUCACGAGUUGUACCAGUCGAUUAUGAAAUCGCUUGGUACAACAGCAAACUAUUGAGGGUUUAACUUUGGUCUUUUUCAUCAAAUGUUUUGCAACUGAUUUAUUUUCUUACGUGUUUUUAAAUUUUGUUUUUCUAAAUAAACGAGUAUAAUCCUUUUCUA
rnacentral:lncRNA from 1 species